AAGACUAUAGACCUGCGGAGUACCUGCGGAGGGAUCAUUAUCGAGUUUACAACUCCCAAACCAUUGUGAAUCUUACCUUUUCGUUGCUUCGGCGGGAUCGCCCCGGGCGCUUCGGUGCCCCGGAUUCAGGCGCCCGCCGGGGGACCUAAACUCUUGUAUUAUAGUGGAUUUCUGAGUGGAUUACACAAAUAAUCAAAACUUUCAGCAACGGAUCUCU
rnacentral:misc_RNA from 1 species